rfam:Rhizoctonia solani AG-1 IA unplaced genomic scaffold scaffold17, whole genome shotgun sequence.
GCCCUUAUAGCUCAGUGGUAGAGCGCAUCACUCGUAUCUAUAGCUACGUAAUUUUGCACAUGAUGAGGUCCCAGGUUCAAUCCCUGGUGGGGGCA